rnacentral:lncRNA from 1 species
UGUAAAUACAUUUGCACACCUCCACUUACAUCCUAUUAUUUUUAUUAUUUUUCUCACUUCACAUAUCCUCACAUUGCAUACAUGCAUUCCAUUCAUUUGCAUCCCAUUCGCAUUAUUCGUGACUUCUUCAAAGGAUCGUUCUUGGGCUUCACAAUUAAUGUGAUUGGCACCACUCAAUCUUUGAAGAGAAAUUUCCCCCAAUACCCCUAGG